rnacentral:rRNA from 1 species
GACGAACGCUGGCGGCGUGCCUAAUACAUGCAAGUAGAACGCUGAAGGAGGAGCUUGCUUCUCUGGAUGAGUUGCGAACGGGUGAGUAACGCGUAGGUAACCUGCCUGGUAGCGGGGGAUAACUAUUGGAAACGAUAGCUAAUACCGCAUAAUAGUAGAUGUUGCAUGACAUUUGCUUAAAAGGUGCAAUUGCAUCACUACCAGAUGGACCUGCGUUGUAUUAGCUAGUUGGUGGGGUAACGGCUCACCAAGGCGACGAUACAUAGCCGACCUGAGAGGGGGAUCGGCCACACUGGGAAUGAGACACGGCCCAGACUCCUACGGGAGGCAGCAGUAGGGAAUCUUCGGCAAUGGACGGAAGUCUGACCGAGCAACGCCGCGUGAGUGAAGAAGGGUUUCGGAUCGUAAAGCUCUGUUGUAAGAGAAGAACGAGUGUGAGAGUGGAAAGUUCACACUGUGACGGUAUCUUACCAGAAAGGGACGGCUAACUACGUG